rnacentral:rRNA from 1 species
CACGUAGGGGGGCUAGCGUUUGUCCGGAAUCAUUGGGCGUAAAGCGCGUGUAGGCGGCCAGAUAAGUCCGGUGUGAAAGUCAAAGGCUCAACCUUUGAAUGCCGCUGGAAACUGUCUGGCUAGAGUCCGGAAGGGGCGAGUGGAACUCCUGGUGUAGCGGUGAAAUGCGCAGAUAUCAGGAAGAACACCUAUGGCGAAGGCAGCUCGCUGGGACGGUACUGACGCUGAGACGCGAAAGCGUGGGGAGCAAACAGG